rnacentral:rRNA from 1 species
UCCGGUUGAUCCUGCCAGAGGUUACUGCUAUCGGUGUUCGCCUAAGCCAUGCGAGUCAUAUGUUCUUCGUGAACAUGGCGUACUGCUCAGUAACACGUGGAUAACCUGCCCUUGGGUCCGGCAUAACCCCGGGAAACUGGGGAUAAUUCCGGAUAACGCACAUAUGCUGGAAUGCUUUAUGCGUAAAAUGGAUUCGUCUGCCCAAGGAUGGGUCUGCGGCCUAUCAGGUAGUAGUGGGUGUAAUGUACCUACUAGCCUACAACGGGUACGGGUUGUGAGAGCAAGAGCCCGGAGAUGGAUUCUGAGACAUGAAUCCAGGCCCUACGGGGCGCAGCAGGCGCGAAAACUUUACAAUGCGGGAAACCGUGAUAAGGGGACACCGAGUGCUAGCAUCAUAUGCUGGCUGUCCAGGUGUGUAAAAUACACCUGUUAGCAAGGGCCGGGCAAGACCGGUGCCAGCCGCCGCGGUAACACCGGCGGCCCGAGUGGUGAUCGUGAUUAUUGGGUCUAAAGGGUCCGUAGCCGGUUUGGUCAGUCCUCCGGGAAAUCUGACAGCUCAACUGUUAGGCUUUCGGGGGAUACUGCCAGACUUGGAACCGGGAGAGGUAAGAGGUACUACAGGGGUAGGAGUGAAAUCUUGUAAUCCCUGUGGGACCACCUGUGGCGAAAGCGUCUUACCAGAACGGGUUCGACGGUGAGGGACGAAAGCUGGGGGCACGAACCGGAUUAGAUACCCGGGUAGUCCCAGCCGUAAACGAUGCUCGCUAGGUGUCAGGCAUGGCGCGACCGUGUCUGGUGCCGCAGGGAAGCCGUGAAGCGAGCCACCUGGGAAGUACGGCCGCAAGGCUGAAACUUAAAGGAAUUGGCGGGGGAGCACAACAACGGGUGGAGCCUGCGGUUUAAUUGGACUCAACGCCGGACAACUCACCGGGGACGACAGCAAUAUGUAGGCCAGGCUGAAGACCUUGCCUGAAUCGCUGAGAGGAGGUGCAUGGCCGUCGCCAGUUCGUACUGUGAAGCAUCCUGUUAAGUCAGGUAACGAGCGAGACC